rnacentral:rRNA from 1 species
CCUGGCCUUGACAUACUAAGAACUUUCCAGAGAUGGAUUGGUGCCUUCGGGAACUUAGAUACAGGUGCUGCAUGGCUGUCGUCAGCUCGUGUCGUGAGAUGUUGGGUUAAGUCCGCAACGAGCGCAACCCUUUUCCUAUUUGCCAGCGGGUAAUGCCGGGAACUUUAAGGAUACUGCCAGUGACAAACUGGAGGAAGGCGGGGACGACGUCAAGUCAUCAUGGCCCUUACGGCCAGGGCUACACACGUGCUACAAUGGUCGGUACAAAGGGUUGCUACCUCGCGAGAGGAUGCUAAUCUCAAAAAGCCGAUCGUAGUCCGGAUCGCAGUCUGCAACUCGACUGCGUGAAGUCGGAAUCGCUAGUAAUCGCGGAUCAGAAUGCCGCGGUCGAAUACGUUCCCGGGCCUUGUACACACCGCCCGUCACACCAUGGGAGUUUGUUGCACCAGAAGUAGGUAGUCUAACCGCAAGGAGGACGCUUACCACGGUGUGGCCGAUGACUGGGGUGAAGUCGUAACAAGGUAAGCGUAGAUGA